GAAUUCGCCCUUAGAGUUUGAUCCUGGCUCAGGACGAACGCUGGCGGCGCGCCUAACACAUGCAAGUCGAACGGAGCUUAGAGAGCUUGCUUUUUAAGCUUAGUGGCGAACGGGUGAGUAACGCGUGAGUAACCUGCCCUAGAGUGGGGGACAACAGUUGGAAACGACUGCUAAUACCGCAUAAGCCCACGGUGCCGCAUGACACUGAGGAAAAGGAUUUAUUCGCUUUAGGAUGGACUCGCGUCCAAUUAGCUAGUUGGUGAGGUAACGGCCCACCAAGGCGACGAUUGGUAGCCGGACUGAGAGGUUGAACGGCCACAUUGGGACUGAGACACGGCCCAGACUCCUACGGGAGGCAGCAGUGGGGGAUAUUGCACAAUGGGGGAAACCCUGAUGCAGCGACGCCGCGUGGAGGAAGAAGGUUUUCGGAUUGUAAACUCCUGUCGUUAGGGACGAUAAUGACGGUACCUAACAAGAAAGCACCGGCUAACUACGUGCCAGCAGCCGCGGUAAAACGUAGGGUGCAAGCGUUGUCCGGAAUUACUGGGUGUAAAGGGAGCGCAGGCGGGAAGACAAGUUGGAAGUGAAAACCAUGGGCUCAACCCAUGAAUUGCUUUCAAAACUGUUUUUCUUGAGUAGUGCAGAGGUAGAUGGAAUUCCCGGUGUAGCGGUGGAAUGCGUAGAUAUCGGGAGGAACACCAGUGGCGAAGGCGGUCUACUGGGCACUAACUGACGCUGAGGCUCGAAAGCAUGGGUAGCAAACAGGAUUAGAUACCCUGGUAGUCCAUGCCGUAAACGAUGAUUACUAGGUGUUGGGGGAUUGACCCCCUCAGUGCCGCAGUUAACACAAUAAGUAAUCCACCUGGGGAGUACGACCGCAAGGUUGAAACUCAAAGGAAUUGACGGGGGCCCGCACAAGCAGUGGAGUAUGUGGUUUAAUUCGAAGCAACGCGAAGAACCUUACCAGGUCUUGACAUCCGAUGCAUAGCACAGAGAUGUGUGAAAUCCUUCGGGACAUCGAGACAGGUGGUGCAUGGUUGUCGUCAGCUCGUGUCGUGAGAUGUUGGGUUAAGUCCCGCAACGAGCGCAACCCUUAUUGCCAGUUACUACGUUAAGAGGACUCUGGCGAGACUGCCGUUGACAAAACGGAGGAAGGUGGGGAUGACGUCAAAUCAUCAUGCCCUUUAUGACCUGGGCUACACACGUACUACAAUGGCGUUAAACAAAGAGAAGCAAGACCGCGAGGUGGAGCAAAACUCAAAAACAACGUCUCAGUUCAGAUUGCAGGCUGCAACUCGCCUGCAUGAAGUUGGAGUUGCUAGUAAUCGCGGAUCAGCAUGCCGCGGUGAAUACGUUCCCGGGCCUUGCACUCACCGCCCGUCA
rnacentral:rRNA from 1 species